UGGCAGAGCUAGGCAGAGAAUUCCAUGUCCUCUCUCACAUCCCAAUGGCGGUGGUUGAACGAGGAGCCAGUUUAUUCCCAAAUGGUGUUCCUUGGCUCUAUGCUGUGUUUGCUAUGCUUUUUGUAUUUUUUCUUUUUGCCAUGUUAUCUCCCUUUUUACUUGAGAUAGACCAGCACAUAAAGAAAUUCUUGAUCAGAUGCAGGUAUUCUCUGCAUAACACUGUGCAUAAGGACAAAAAAAACAGUGAGAUAAAGAUGGACCAUCUAGAAAGGCCAGGCUGUCCUCUGGAGUCACCAAGGAGAGGAGUUCUGGGAGGGAAGAAAAAUGGGAUGGGAAACGACCCAUUACUAUUUGUGAAAGUGACAAAAGAACCCAGGGAUUCUGAGGCUGAAAUCUAUACCCCUGGGCCUUCAGUUUGAGAGUCAUUUAGCCUAUAUGGAAUUACCUGUGACAUUACAUUCCAGAGAGACGAGAAAUUCUGAGACCCUUAUUAUCGAUGUUUAUAUUGAAAAAAUGGUUGAAUUUUCCUCCAGCCUUGGAGAGGAGCAUGACACUUACCCAAGGAAACAGUGGUGCAGUGGCACGAUCACGGCUCACUGCAGCCUGGACCUCCCCAGCUCAAGCAAUCCCCCUGUCUCUGCCUUUCAAGUAGCUGGGACUACAGGAACUGCAAGUAAUAAAACAUGACUGGAAUAACAAACCACAGGGAAAGGUGGGAGAAUGAAAAGAUGUAUAAGGGUCAUAUCCUACAAGUGUCGUGGCCACACCAAAUGAUCUGACUCAUGUGGAGCGAGCGGGCAGAUACAUUUAUUUUCACCUUGCAAAAAAUUAUACAAGAAAUUCUUCAGAAAGAAAGAAAAUGAUAUAGUUCAGAAGCUCUGAUCUACGAAAAGAAAAGGGAAGCAUUAGAGAAGAAAUAAAUACAGAUGGAGUUUCGCUCUUGUCACCCAGGCUGGAGCGCAAUGGUGUGAUUUCAGCUCACUGCAAACUCUGCCUUCCAAGUUCAUGCAAUUCUCCUGCCUCAGCCUCCCAA